rnacentral:rRNA from 1 species
CCUACGGGUGGCAGCAGUGGGGAAUAUUGCACAAUGGGCGAAACCCUGAUGCAGCGACGCCGCGUGAGUGAGGAAGUAUCUCGGUAUGUAAAGCUCUAUCAGUAGGGAAGAAAAUGACGGUACCUGACUAAGAAGCCACGGCUAACUACGGGCCAGCAGCCGCGGUAAUACGUAGGGGGCAAGCGUUAUCCGGAUUUACUGGGGGUAAAGGGAGCGUAGACGGCUAAUCAAGUCAGAAGUGAAAACCCAGGGCUCAACCUUGGGACUGCUUUUGAAACUGGGUAGCUAGAGUGCAGGAGAGGUAAGCGGAAUGCCUAGUGUAGCGGUGAAAUGCGUAGAUAUUAGGAAGAACACCAGUGGCGAAGGCAGCUUACUAGACUGUAACUGACGUUGAGGCACGAAAGCGUGGGGAUCGAACAGGAUUAGAUACCCUGGUAGUC